UACGUAGGGUGCGAGCGUUGUCCGGAAUUAUUGGGCGUAAAGAGCUCGUAGGCGGUUGGGUAAGUCGGGUGUGAAAACUCCGGGCUCAACUCGGAGACGCCACCCGAUACUGCUCUGACUUGAGUCCGGUAGGGGAGUGGGGAAUUCCUGGUGUAGCGGUGAAAUGCGCAGAUAUCAGGAGGAACACCGGUGGCGAAGGCGCCACUCUGGGCCGGAACUGACGCUGAGGAGCGAAAGCGUGGGGAGCAAACAGG
rnacentral:rRNA from 1 species